rnacentral:rRNA from 1 species
GUAAGCCUACGGGGGGCAGCAGUUAGGAAUAUUCGUCAAUGGGGGAAACCCUGAACGGGCAAUGCCGCGUGAACGAUGACGGUCCUCUGGAUUGUAAAGUUCUGUUGUUUGGGAAGAACGGCUCUAAUAGGAAAUGAUUAGAGAUUGACUGUACCAUUCAAGAAAGCCACGGCUAACUACGUGCGAGCAGCCGCGGUAAUACGUAGGUGGCGAGCGUUAUCCGGUUUUAUUGGGCGUAAAGCGUCCGCAGCCG